CCAAGGAGUCUAGCGUCCGCGCGAGUCCUUGGGUGUAAAACCUAGAGGCGCAAUGAAAGUGUCAGGGGUGCCUCCUUUAGGAGCGCUCCCCGUCGGGAGGAUGGGCCGCCGUACGUGUACUCGUCGGAGCCCCGCACUCCCGGGGCGUCUCGUUCUCAUCACGAGUGGAGACGCACCAGGAGCGCACACGCUGGUACCCGAAAGAUGGUGAACUAUGCCUGGCCAGGACGAAGCCAGGGGAAACCCUGGUGGAGGUCCGAAGCGAUUCUGACGUGCAAAUCGAUCGUCUGAGCUGGGUAUAGGGGCGAAAGACCAAUCGAACCAUCUAGUAGCUGGUUCCCUCUGAAGUUUCCCUCAGGAUAGCUGGCUCUCGGGAAGAGACGAGUCUCAUCCGGUAGAGCGAAGUGAUUAGAGGUGAUGGGGUCGAAACGACUUCAACCUAUUCUCAAACUCCCAAUAGAUGAGAGCCCCGGCUUGCUUAAAAGUGAAGCCGCGGGAAUCGGAUCAGAGAUGCCAAGUGGGCCAAUUUU
rnacentral:rRNA from 1 species